rnacentral:tmRNA from 1 species
GGGGCUGUACCUGGUUUUGACAGCAUACGUUGCGGUAGGUGUAAGCAUGCAGUGCGUUGUAUCAUUAGCACUUAAAUCUGAAGAUUCAAACAUUAAAUGGCAAUACACAGUAUGCCAUGGCUGCCUAAUCAGUGAUUAGUUAGUCAUUUGGGCCGCAAAACAGGCUUGCCUGUUGCCAGGUUUUGCCGCCGACUCAAAACAAACACAGGCUGCUGCAGCAGAAGGCUGUGACUGCUGCAAAAGAUACAUUCAGCUAAGGAAGUGGUUGGUUGGUCUGUUUCCUGCCACAUCCCGACAAAUAAUAAUGGACUAAGCAUGUAGAAAGCUUAUGGUAAUGAUGUUUGGACAGGGGUUCGACUCCCCUCAGCUCCACAG